rnacentral:lncRNA from 1 species
CCUCUGGCCAGAACUGAAACCCAUUUCGUAACCCUAAAAUCGCCACCAUUGAUUCCACCGAGCUAACGCCAACUAUCCGACGACAUAGUAACCACAAUCGAAAUGGUCGUCUGCACCUUCAUCGGCCACUAAGUCGUUCCGUCCUCCGUCCCUAUCGCGAACCAAGAGAUGAAAAUUUCGAAAAUUUUCAGGCGCCACCGGUAUUGCCAUUUCCGGCAUUAACCGACCACGACAUAACUCGUCGAAGCGGUAAGUAAUGUGAAGCUUAAAGGUUGAAAUGUAUGGUUUGUAUUUUUCUGUUCAUUGUAUACGUGCUCUGUAUAUUAUCUCUCUGCACCAAAUUUUCAACAUGUAAUUUUCAUUCAAUAAUUUGAGUAAUUUUCAUUCAAUAAUUUGAGAAGAAAUGGCAGAGAAACUUUGAUUUACACCCCACAAGAUUCCUUCAUUCUUUGAUGCUCGUAUCAGAUUUCACAGGGGCUUUCUUGAUUUCAACUAUUCAUUCUCCUUCUAUGUAAUUUUGUUAUUAUUUUUAAUAUGCAGGGUAAGGGGAGUAGUGUUAUGAGUUUGAAUGAUUAAAAAUUGGAUUUUUCGUUAGUGGGUUAUUUAAUGACCAGAAGAUUGACAAAUGUUUAGAUGCUUAAUAUUGUGAUUUUCUUCCCAAAAAAAAUAAAAAUGAAGCACUCAUGGCAACACCAACUAAUUCUACUGAUUUUAAUUGAACAAGCACUCAUGGCAACACCAGCUAGUCGCUUGAUUCAGAAUCAGAAUCUCAAUAUCCCCUCUAACAUAUUGCUGUCUUGUAUAGGUGCUACUCGUGGGCUUAAGAUUGAUGUCGUCAAGGCAAAUAAGAAAGCAGGGGUUGGUGCAAGAAAAGCUCUUAAUGACAUAUCAAACUUGAGAAAUUCUACCAUGCUACAAAUGAAGAAAGAUCUCACUCAGUAUUUUGAAAACUUUGUCUGUCCAACGAAGAAACGAUGUCCAAAUUGUGGCGAGGGCAUCAAGAAGUGUAUGAAGGUCGAGAGAAAAACAAAAAAAUGGGGCGACUGCUUUAUUGCUGCACCAAUUAUCAAACUUCAUUUUUUUUAAUCGGCCAGUCACGUGUAGUGGCUUUGUUCUGUUAUUUUGAACAAUUAUGAUGUUUAAUUUGUGUCGUGACACAAUGUUGGGUGUCAACAGUGAUGUUGUAAUUUUAAUAUCAAAUAGUAAUUCGUAUGUUGUAAUUAAUUGGUAUGUAUUAUUUUGAUGCAUGUCUCGAGCAGUUUCCUUCCAUAAAUAAGAGCGGCGAAUCGUUAUGAGCAU